rnacentral:rRNA from 1 species
UAGAGUUUGAUCCUGGCUCAGGAUAAACGCUGGCGGCGUGCCUAACACAUGCAAGUCGAACGCCCUUGCGCAAGCAAGGGAGUGGCGGACGGGUGAGGAACACGUGGAUACCUACCUUCGAGUGAGGAAUACCGGCGAGAAAUCGCCGACAAUACCGCAUACCCUUGGCAACAAGGAAAGUUCGCAAGGACGCUCGAAGCUGGGUCUGCGCCUGAUUAGCUGGUUGGUGGGGUAAAGGCCUACCAAGGCGACGAUCAGUAGCUGGUCUGAGAGGACGAUCAGCCACACUGGGAUUGAGAACGGCCCAGACUCCUACGGGGGGCAGCAGUGAGGAAUUUUCGGCAAUGGGCGCAAGCCUGACCGAGCAACGCCGCGUGCAGGAUGACGGCCUUCGGGUUGUAAACUGCUUUUCUCUGGGACGAGAUGAAGGACGGUACCAGAGGAACAAGCACCGGCUAACUCCGUGCCAGCAGCCGCGGUAAUACGGAGGGUGCAAGCGUUAUCCGGAUUCACUGGGUUUAAAGGGUGCGUAGGUGGGCAGGUAAGUCAGUGGUGAAAUCUCCGGGCUUAACCCGGAAACUGCCGUUGAUACUAUCUGUCUUGAAUAUAGUGGAGGUGAGCGGAAUAUGUCAUGUAGCGGUGAAAUGCUUAGAUAUGACAUANAACAUCGAUUGCGAAGGCAGCUCGCUACACUAUCAUUGACACUGAGGCACGAAAGCGUGGGGAUCAAACAGGAUUAGAUACCCUGGUAGUCCACGCCCUAAACGAUGGAUACUCGACAUCACCGAUACACUGGUGGUGUCUGAGCGAAGCAUUUAGAUCCCACCUGGGAAGUCGACCGCAGGGUGAACUCAAAGGAAUGC